rfam:Mouse hepatitis virus strain MHV-A59 C12 mutant, complete genome.
UGGGUUAGAAGAUGACUCUAAUGUGUAAAGAGAAUGAAUCCUAUGUCGGCGCUCGGUGGUAACCCCUCGCGAGAAAGUCGGGAUAGGACACUCUCUAUCAGAAUGGAUGUCUUGCUGUCAUAACAGAUAGAGAAGGUUGUGGCAGACCCUGUAUCAAUUAGUUGAAAGAGAUUGCAAAAUAGAGAAUGUGUGAGAGAAGUUAGCAAGGUCCUACGUCUAACCAUAAGAACGGCGAUAGGCGCCCCCUGGGAAGAGCUCACAUCAGGGUACUAUUCCUGCAAUGCCCUAGUAAAUGAAUGAAGUUGAUCAUGGCCAAUUGGAAGAAUCAC